GAACUCCCAGAAAACUAUUAUUUAGCCAUAUUAUAUUGAUAUAUUUCAAAUUAUACAAACUGAAUGUGUAAAAUAUGUGUUUAGCUUAUAAAAUCUUAAAUGUAUCAACAUUAUACCUAUACGCAAGACACAUAUUUCCAACACACAACAAACAUAUUACCAACACACGUCAAAAUAUAAUCAAAUCAUAACAAAUAAAACAGAUCAUAGCAUUUUACGUGCAUAACCAAAAAUACAAAUAUGAUGGCAUUGUCUUAAGAUUUGUUAGAAAGUUGGAUUUGGAGAGCUAGAUAUAUUCUAUAUUUUAGAUUUGAGUAAAAUUAAAAUAAUACCGUAAUAUAACAAUCGAAUC
rnacentral:lncRNA from 1 species